AUUGAACGCUGGCGGCAGGCCUAACACAUGCAAGUCGAGCGGAUGAAGGGAGCUUUCUCCUGGAUUCAGCGGCGGACGGGUGAGUAAUGCCUAGGAAUCUGCCUGGUAGUGGGGGAUAACGUCCGGAAACGGGCGCUAAUACCGCAUACGUCCUGAGGUAGAUAGUGGGGGAUCUUCGGUCCUCACGCUAUCAGAUGAGCCUAGGUCGGAUUAGCUAGUUGGUGGGGUAAAGGCCUACCAAGGCGACGAUCCGUAACUGGUCUGAGAGGAUGAACAGUCACAGUGGAAGGGAGACACGGUCCAGACUGCGACGGGAGGCAGCAGAGGGGAAUAAUGGACAAUGGGGGAAAGCAUGAUACAGCAAUGCCGCGUGAGAGAAGAAGGUCUUAGGAUUGGAAAGCACUUUAAGUAGGGAGGAAGGGAAGUAAGUUAAUACCUUGAUGUUGUGACGUUACCAACAGAAUAAGCACCGGCUAACUACGUG
rnacentral:rRNA from 1 species